UACAGAGGUCUCAAGCGUUGUUCGGAUUCAUUGGGCGUAAAGGGUGCGUAGGCGGCGCGGUAAGUCGGGUGUGAAAUCUCGGAGCUUAACUCCGAAACUGCAUUCGAUACUGCCGUGCUUGAGGACUGGAGAGGAGACUGGAAUUUACGGUGUAGCGGUGAAAUGCGUAGAUAUCGUAAGGAAGACCAGUGGCGAAGGCGGGUCUCUAGUACGGUACUGACGCUGAGACGCGAAAGCGUGGGGAGCAAACAGG
rnacentral:rRNA from 1 species